AGUGAAAUAUUACAGGUAAUAGUUUUAUUCAAAUAUUUAUCUAACAGAAGGGCUGUGAUUCCCAAUCGCUGAACAAAUUCUGUUGCGCUUACUUUUCUGUUUCGAAGAAUACAAACAAUAACCGCCGCAGCUAGUUUAAAGAAAAAGUUUACUUCGCAAUUCCUAUAAAAACAUUAAGUACUGCCGAGUACACUAUCAAUACCUUUCACAAUAAUCUUUCAACAGAACUGAAUUCCGUUGUCUUUCCUGUACUCUCUGUUUUGUCCGGCAUUAUGAACGUUUUCGUGACCUUGUUGCUGACGGUUGCCAUUUCGGCUUUUUCGAGCGCUCCGCCGGCCGACGAGGAUUCAUCAUCAGCGUCAGCGAAAGAGCGUCCAAAAAUAUCCGACAGUGCCCGGGUUCUCUCCCGAAACAGGAACAGCCAGGCCAAAAGCGACCCAGGGCGCCGAAGUGGCGCUGCCGGAUAAUCAAGAGCAGAUCGGCGAUGAGGACUGGAACCCGUAAUACCGGUGAAGGUGAAAGGAGUUGUUGACAACUACGACUUGAAGACAGACGAGUAUACCACUACGCCAGCGCAAGAAGAAGGAACUUAUGCUGUUCCUUUAGAAAUGGUCUAAAUCCGUGAUUAGGCAGCAACGCAAGCAAGAAUGCCCUGAAAAGCAAUUUAUAUUGAUAAACAAAAACGUAAUUUACAUAUAUUUCGAGCGCGGGUGUAUACAAAGCGAAUUGGUCAUUGUGUACGUAGAAGCAGUGUCGGGUAUUCCGUGUCGACUUUUAUCGUGUCGGGGGAACUACGUAAAUUUUUGUAAUACUUUAAUAAUGCAAGUUCACAGUAACCAUCUGGCAGAAAAA